GCCCUUACGUCCAGGGCUACACACGUGCUACAAUGGUAGAGACAGAGGGCAGCCACUUGGUGACAAGGAGCUAAUCCUUAAACUCUAUCUCAGUUCGGAUUGAAGUCUGCAACUCGACUUCAUGAAGCUGGAAUCGCUAGUAAUCGCGCAUCAGCAAUGGCGCGGUGAAUACGUUCCCGGACCUUGUACACACCGCCCGUCAAGCCAUGGAAGUUGGGUAGACCUGAAGAUGGUUGCUGUAAGGCGCUAUUUAGGGUAGAACCAGUAACUGGGGCUAAGUCGUAACAAGGUAGCCGUACCGGAAGGUGCGGCUGGAACACCUC
rnacentral:rRNA from 18 species